UAUUAAUAAUUUAUGCUUUAUAAAUUAAUAGGGUGAGAAUACGAAUUAAUAAUUUUGCUGAAACUAAAUUUAUAGUUAAUAUAUAGUUUUUGUAUGAAUGUACGGCGAGUACACGACGGAAGCUUUAGCGCAUGUUUGCGCAUGUUUCCGUUGAUUCCGGAAGGGAGUUCCGCUGCGGACGGGCCGUAAGCCAGUCGGCACAAGCCCUGCGGGACGGUAGCGUCGCGACGACCCGACGAACUUUUGCGCCUCCGGCCCGUGGUUGUUGACACGGCGUUCGAAUCGCCGAGGGCUUUUCGAAGAACGCUCAAACAGAGAGGGUGAGUGGCGCGAAUCGAUAGGCCGCAACUCCCCCCGCGCUUGGGUGAUACACGCAAAAGAGAGCGACAUCUACCGCGACAUGACGGCGACGUGUCGGGACAAGUUUUCGCCCCCGCGGACGCAUUUUAAGCUGUAACGGAAAAUAACAUGAAAUAAUGUACCGGUUACAAUGUGUGGUGGUGGUGUUUUUGUAUCGUUUGGCGUUCGUCCUUCCGAGGCAAAACGACGCGCACGUGCUUCAUAUCGGAGGUAUAUUCCCCAUUAUGGGCCAAGGAGGGUGGCAAGGGGGCCAAGCCUGUAUGCCGGCUGCUCACAUGGCCUUAGAAGAUGUCAACAAACGAAAGGAUCUUUUGCCCGGAUACGUCUUGGAAUUACAUCAAAAUGAC